GCCGCAUACUCGCGCCCAUUCUCGCCGCGCACGAUGCUCCGUCUCCCCACCCUCACCGCCCUUAAACCCUCAACCCCCGCCAUCAGCUUGAACCGUGUCGGCUGCAGCCAUGGCCGCCGCCGCCGCAAGCUCAUCUUUGUCUCAUCCGCUCCUCCGCCGUCUUCUUCGUCUUCACGGCCUCCGAAGCCGACGUCGAACCCGGAACCACCAAAGCCCACACAUGAGGCCCGCAACCGGAACCCGGAUGGAUCCACCGAGGCAGGGUUCCCCACAACCAAGCCCCGGAAGCCACGCCGUGGGCGCCGCAGCGAGUCGGCGGCCGUGGAGGACUUCGUCCGCAACCGCCUUGAGCAGGUCUUUGCCUCCAUCCAGGAGCGCAACCCCGACGUCCUCGAGGGCAAAGGCGACAUCCUGAAGCCGAAGGCCGAUGUGGAGCGAUUACCAGACGACGAGGGAGAGGGAGAAGGAGGAGAACAGAAGCCCGUGGUGGAAGAGGAGGACCCGAGCUGGCCGCUGGAUGCCGAUGUCGGAUGGGGGAUCCGGGCCUCAGAGUACUUCGACAAGCACUCGAUCAGAAAUGUCACAGUGGACGGGGUGGAGAUCGAUUGGGAAGGGGACGUCGACGAGGGGUGGGUCAAGGAAAUCAAUUGCUUGGAGUGGGAGAGCUUCGCAUUCCACCCCAGCCCCUUAGUCGUCCUAGUCUUCGAGCGGUACAACAGGGCUGCUGACAAUUGGAAGUUUCUUCAAGAAUUGGAAAAGGCUGCUAAGGUGUACUGGAAUGCUAAAGAUCGCUUACCUCCUCGGACAGUCAAAGUUGAUAUAAAUAUUGAGAGGGAUUUGGCAUAUGCACUUCAAGCAAGAGAAUGUCCACAAUUAUUGUUCCUUAGGGGAAACAAGAUCUUAUAUAGAGAAAAAGAGAUAAGGACUGCAGAUGAGCUGGUUCAAAUGAUUGCCCAUUUCUACUACAAUGCAAAGAGGCCAUCUUGCGUUAAUCCUGAGGCCGUUGCUUCUUUCUAGUUCUUGUAUAGAAUUGUUGACAUAGUGUUUUCAUCCUCAACCGGUGUGUUGGUGCUAGUUUUUGACUGGAAGAAGAAGCUCCCUUAUUCAAUCAUUUUCCAGGACAUGGUGCUCGGAUAGUUUGGAAUUGAUAUGACUAAACGAAAACCAAGAAAAACAUCUCAAUGCUGGUUGGGAAAGUGUGAACUAAAUCAUGUAUCAUUCUGAUUAGUAGUGUAGUGUAACAAAAUACAACUUUCAGGGGAGAGUGCUUAGAUCAUUUUUAUCGGUUAGCUAUAUUAGAUGAUUUCAAAGUUGACUGCAAACUUUGUCAUGGAGCAAAACUUAGGUGCUGUUUGGUUCACGAAAUAUAACGUAAAGGGUAAUGGUAAUGGUUUA